UUUAAUAAAAUAAAUAAUUAAAAAAACUGAAAAUUCAUCAGGAUCUAGUAAGAAUUAUAGCCCAAAACCUGAAAAGCCCUUCAUUCUUCAUCACCUUCACGUGUUCGUGUUCUUUCGAGACCUAAAACAACGAUUUUGCGUUUAUACAGUCAAUGGCGUCCGAGAGGAUUGGAUGACUGAAAUUGAGAUGAAGAAUCUGUUUGUUUGUUUCCACUCCUGUCGUUUAGCCUUCUACUCUAUUUAACAGAAACGGUCCGAGUUACAGAUUCAACGUCAUUAUCGCCUUCUUAACUCCAUACACCGACAUGAAGUACGAUCUAACAUUGAUUGAUCUUCCAACUCUUAUGCCAGAAGAUACAGUUUUGGAUGUUCGCAAAUUCUUAGUUGGAGAAGUUUUUAAAGGAACAUUCUUUGGUGGUCUUUUAUGGCGAGAACUCAAUAUGAAUACAGCAUAGGACAAGUUGUUCUCUUAGCGGAUACGACUUGGUAUCCUACUGAGCCUCUGGUUUCUUUGUCAAAUUCAGACAACAACAUAGAAUGUGCUUUUUCUCUCUAAAACAGGCUGCAAGGCAACUUGAAUUUCUGGUGGGAAAGAAAUCUGGUGGUCCAAACACUUGCAGCCUCUAGGAAUAGCGCAGCACCAUGAUUGCGUCACUGGAACUGCCAAGCAGUAUGUAGCAAAUGAUUAUGCCAAAAGACUAGCACUUGCUGCUUCUGAGGUAACAAACGUACUAUUCAAAACUUUUCUAGGUAAUUGAUUUCAUCGUUUAUUCCCUAGGCAGAAUCAGUGGUGAAUUAUGCGCUGGCACACUUACUGAGCAAGGCACGUACAAAGCCUGACAUAUCAUUAACCCACGUUCAAAGAUCCUUCAUCAUCAUUCUUUCAUGGUUAUGUGGGAUUAGUAUAAACGUGGUUGUGGGAAGUGAAGUAACCACUCUCAAAAGCCUUGAAGAAAGCAGCAGCAUUAUCAUCACAGAGAUGCCAAUCAAUAUUUCGAGAUCUUAUAACUACUCAGGGCUCCUGCGAUCUGAAGGAUACCAUCAAAGUUCGUUUGUUGGCUCUUAUGCUUCAAAUUAUGUUACAGGAGCUUCUCCGUAGCGAUCAAAAGUUUGUGUUAAGCUACAGAAGAUGAUCACUGGUCUACAAAUCUGCGUUUUUUUAAGUGGAGACAAAGGGAGUUGAAUUUCAUAGAGGCAUUUUAUAUCGUUCUCUCAUUCCUAAUCAUCCAAGCAAAUUUAAUAAAAACUUCGCCUCUCUCUCUAAACACCAAAAUGAGUUAAAAUAAUGUGUAAAACAAACAACUUCCACAUAGGAUUAAACAAUUGUAGUGGAUUAUUUUUCUAUUUACAUUAUAAAAUAAUUAUUGUUGUGAUAAAUGUUUUUCAAAUUCAUAAAAUUCAACCCAAAGAAAAAAUGAAUGAAUCCAAUAGAAGUUUAUCCUUUUCCUCACCAAAUUCGAAUUCAAAAUUUUUUUUGGUGACAUUUGAUAGAUUAAAUAUUAAAUAGAAAACAAUAAUUUUUGAAAAAUAUAUUUUUCGUAACAUUUGAUAGAAAACAAUUACUGUUGCGAUAUACUUUUUUCAAAUUCAUCAAAUUCAAGCCAAAGAAAAAAUGAAUUAAUCUAAUUGAAGUUUACUCUUUUUCUCACCAAAUUCAAAUUUAAUAAAUUAAUUUUUUGUAACAUUUGUUAAAUUAAAUAUUUAAUUGGAAACCACAACUAAAAAAUAACAAACAAUCAAAAAUUAAUUUUUUAAAAAUUAUGUAUAAUAAAAUAUAAAUAGCUAGGACAAUUACAAUUUAAUGAAAUACACAACAUAACAAAAUUACAUAAUAUAACACAAAUAUAUAAUUUAACAAAAGUAUAUAGGCGCACCUGACUGGAGAAAACACACACAAUGUAUUAGUUCAGGCAACCGAUAAAUCGUCAUAAGCCUCAAUAACAACCGGUGAAAACGACUAUUAUUCUGUUUAGACACCGGAAGCAAUGUCAACUUGAGAAUAAACGGUUCUGAAUGAACCAUUUAAAACAGCCAAGGAGAAAUAUUUUCAUUCAGAAUCAGUUUUUUGGGUGUCACUACUCACACCUUAAGCGACACGAGAGGCUAAAUAAAAUGAAAGCUUAGAAGCACUAGAAUUAUUUAGUCAAAACUUAAAAAAAAAAAACAUAUUAGUCAUAACCUUGCCGGGUGA